GAUGAACGCUGGCGGCGUGCCUAAUACAUGCAAGUCGAGCGAACAGACGAGGAGCUUGCUCCUCUGACGUUAGCGGCGGACGGGUGAGUAACACGUGGAUAACCUACCUAUAAGACUGGGAUAACUUCGGGAAACCGGAGCUAAUACCGGAUAAUAUAUUGAACCGCAUGGUUCAAUAGUGAAAGACGGUUUUGCUGUCACUUAUAGAUGGAUCCGCGCCGCAUUAGCUAGUUGGUAAGGUAACGGCUUACCAAGGCAACGAUGCGUAGCCGACCUGAGAGGGGGAGGGCCCACACUGAGACAGAGACCGGGUCCAGACCCCUAGGGGGGGCGCAGGGGGGGAUUCUCCCGAAAAGGGGAAAGCCCUGCGGGGUCACCGCCGGGGGGUUAAAGAGGGUUUCGGGAUCUAAAAACUUUUUUAUUGGGAAAAAAAAAAUGUGAAAGAAACUAUGCGCGUCUGAAGGGUCCCUAACCAAAAGCCCCCGGCUACCUCGGUC
rnacentral:rRNA from 1 species